UGCGUAGACGGCAUGUUAAGUUCGUUGUUAAAGGCUUCAGCCUAACUGGAGUAUCGCAAUGAAAACUGGCAAGCUAGAGGAUGAGAGAGAGAAGUGGAAUUCCCGGAGUAGCGGUAAAAUGCGUGGAUCUCGGGAGGAACACCAAUGGCGAAGGCAGCUUCUUGGCUCAUAUCUGACGUUGAGGCACGAAAGCGUGGUAGCAAACA
rnacentral:rRNA from 1 species